rnacentral:rRNA from 1 species
CGUAGACUCCUACGGGAGGCAGCAGUAGGGAAUAUUGGUCAAUGGGUGAGAGCCUGAACCAGCCAUGCCGCGUGCAGGAAGACGGCCUUCUGGGUUGUAAACUGCUUUUACCAGGGGAUAAAAAGAUCUUGCGAGAUUAAUUGAAGGUACCUGGAGAAUAAGCACCGGCUAACUACGUGCCAGCAGCCGCGGUAAUACGUAGGGUGCAAGCGUUGUCCGGAUUUAUUGGGUUUAAAGGGUGCGUAGGCGGGCUAUUAAGUCAGUGGUGAAAUCCAGCAGCUUAACUGUUGAUGUGCCAUUGAUACUGGUAGUCUUGAGUACAGAUGAGGUAGGCGGAAUUGACAGUGUAGCGGUGAAAUGCAUAGAUAUUGUCAAGAACUCCGAUAGCGAAGGCAGCUUACUGGGCUGUAACUGACGCUGAUGCACGAAAGUGUGGGGAUCAAACAGGAUUAGAUACCCUGGUAG